rnacentral:lncRNA from 1 species
GGCUUCCGCCCGGUCUCCCGGCAAGGCUGAGGCCCCGCCCCCGUCAUGGCGCCCGAGGAGAACGCGGGGAGCGAACUCUUGCUGCAGAGUUUCAAGCGCCGCUUCCUGGCAGCGCGCGCCCUGCGCUCCUUCCGCUGGCAGAGCUUAGAAGCAAAGUUAAGAGACUCAUCAGAUUCUGAGCUGCUGCGGGAUAUUUUGCAGAAGUAGACUGUGAAGCAUCCUGUGUGUGUGAAGCACCCGCCGUCAGUCAAGUAUGCCCGGUGCUUUCUCUCAGAACUCAUCAAAAAGGCUGGACUGGGAUCAGAUGGGAAGCGGAAGCUCAUCAUGACCAGAAACUGUUUCCCUACAGAGAGCACUUGGAGAUGGCAAAGCUGAACCUCACACUGUAGGACUCACACAUGACUCCAACGGGAUUGUGAGAAUUAAGUCACUCUCGUGGGAAGAAUUUUUAUAUGGGAAAGCGGAUAAAACUUUCAUUGGACUGGAAUGUUUGGAGAAUGUUAAAUUCCAAAUCAGGAACCACAAACUGCGCUCUAAUAAGACAUCGGCUAUCUAAGCAUGUGGGUUCCCCCUUUCUGCCAGCAGUUCUGGUUCUUAAGAAAAUCACCAUAAAUCAGACAUGAAAAUUCUGGCUCCAAAAAUAGCAUUUUCAUUGUGCAAAUAAAAACGUGUGUAUCAAGUA